rnacentral:rRNA from 1 species
GAUGAACGCUGGCGGCGUGCCUAAUACAUGCAAGUCGAGCGAACAGACGAGGAGCUUGCUCCUCUGACGUUAGCGGCAGACGGGUGAGUAACACGUGGAUAACCUCCCUAUAAGACUGGGAUAACUUCGGGACACCGGAGCUAAUACCGGAUAAUAUAUUGAACCGCAUUGUUCAAUAGUGAAAGACGGUUUUGCUGUCACUUAUAGAUGGAUCUGCGCCGCAUUAGCUAGUUGGUAAGGUAACGGCUUACCAAGGCAACGAUGCGUAGCCGACCUGAGAGGGUGAUCGGCCACACUGGAACUGAGACACGGUCAAGACUCCUACGGGAGGCAGCAGUAGGGAAUCUGCCGCAAUGGGCGAAAGCCUGACGGAGCAACGCCGCGUGAGUGAUGAAGGUGUUCGGAUCGUAAAACUCUGUUAUUAGGGAAGAACAAAUGUGUAAGUAACUAUGCACGUCUUGACGGUACCUAAUCAGAAAGCCACGGCUAACUACGUG